rnacentral:rRNA from 1 species
CGCCUACGGGGGGCUGCAGUCGAGAAUCUUCCGCAAUGGGCGCAAGCCUGACGGAGCGAUGCCGCGUGAAGGAUGAAGGUCUUCGGAUUGUAAACUUCUGUCACUGGGGACGAAUAAAUGACGGUACCCGGAGAGGAAGUCACGGCUAACUACGUGCCAGCAGCCGCGGUAAUACGUAGGUGACUAGCGUUGUUCGGAUUUAUUGGGCGUAAAGGGUCCGCAGGGGGCCGAUUAAGUCUGAUGUGAAAUACCAAGGCUCAACCUUGGAACUGCAUUGGAAACUGAUUGGCUAGAGCAUCGGAGAGGAGAUUGGAAUUCCUGGUGUAGCGGUGGAAUGCGUAGAUAUCAGGAGGAACACCAAAGGCGAAGGCAGAUCUCUGGACGAUUGCUGACCCUCAGGGACGAAAGCAUGGGGAUCAAACAGGAUUAGAUACCCGAGUAGUCCC